rnacentral:rRNA from 1 species
AGAGUUUGAUCCUGGCUCAGGAUGAACGCUAGCGGCAGGCUUAACACAUGCAAGUCGAAGGGCAGCGAGGGGAGUGCUUGCACUCCCUGUCGGCGACUGGCGCACGGGUGAGUAACACGUAUGCAACCUGCCCUCCACAGGGGGACAACCUUCCGAAAGGGAGGCUAAUCCCGCGUAAAUCCCCCGGAGGCAUCUCCGGGGGAGGAAAACUCCGGUGGUGGAGGAUGGGCAUGCGGCGCAUUAGGCAGUCGGCGGGGUAACGGCCCACCGAACCGACGAUGCGUAGGGGUUCUGAGAGGAAGGUCCCCCACACUGGUACUGAGACACGGACCAGACUCCUACGGGAGGCAGCAGUGAGGAAUAUUGGUCAAUGGACGCGAGUCUGAACCAGCCAAGCCGCGUGAAGGAUUAAGGCCCUACGGGUCGUAAACUUCUUUUGCCAGGGAACAAAAGUGGGGACGUGUCCCCAUCUGCGUGUACCUGAAGAAAAAGCAUCGGCUAACUCCGUGCCAGCAGCCGCGGUAAUACGGAGGAUGCGAGCGUUAUCCGGAUUUAUUGGGUUUAAAGGGUGCGCAGGCGGUCUGUUAAGUCAGCGGUAAAAUUGCGGGGCUCAACCCCGUACAGCCGUUGAAACUGCCGGGCUCGAGUGGGCGAGAAGUAUGCGGAAUGCGUGGUGUAGCGGUGAAAUGCAUAGAUAUCACGCAGAACCCCGAUUGCGAAGGCAGCAUACCGGCGCCCGACUGACGCUGAGGCACGAAAGUGCGGGGAUCAAACAGGAUUAGAUACCCUGGUAGUCCGCACAGUAAACGAUGAAUGCUAGCUGUCCGGGGGGAUUGACCCCUGGGUGGCACAGCGAAAGCGUUAAGCAUUCCACCUGGGGAGUACGCCGGCAACGGUGAAACUCAAAGGAAUUGACGGGGGCCCGCACAAGCGGAGGAACAUGUGGUUUAAUUCGAUGAUACGCGAGGAACCUUACCCGGGCUCAAACGCCGAAGGGACAUUCCCCGAAAGGGGAUUGGCCAGCAAUGGUCUUCGGCGAGGUGCUGCAUGGUUGUCGUCAGCUCGUGCCGUGAGGUGUCGGCUUAAGUGCCAUAACGAGCGCAACCCCCACCGACAGUUGCUAACUGGUCAAGCAGAGGACUCUGUCGGGACUGCCGGCGCAAGCUGCGAGGAAGGCGGGGAUGACGUCAAAUCAGCACGGCCCUUACGUCCGGGGCGACACACGUGUUACAAUGGCAGGUACAGCGGGAUGCCAUGGGGCGACCCAGAGCGGAACCCGAAAACCUGUCUCAGUUCGGAUUGGAGUCUGCAACUCGACUCCAUGAAGCUGGAUUCGCUAGUAAUCGCGCAUCAGCCAUGGCGCGGUGAAUACGUUCACGGGCCUUGCACUCACCGCCCGUCAAG